UACGAAGGGGGCUAGCGUUGUUCGGAAUCACUGGGCGUAAAGGGCGCGUAGGCGGCUUUAUAAGUCGGGGGUGAAAGCCUGUGGCUCAACCACAGAAUUGCCUUCGAUACUGUAGAGCUUGAGACCGGAAGAGGUAAGUGGAACUGCGAGUGUAGAGGUGAAAUUCGUAGAUAUUCGCAAGAACACCAGUGGCGAAGGCGGCAUACUGGUCCACUUCUGACGCUGAGGCGCGAAAGCCAGGGGAGCAAACGGG
rnacentral:rRNA from 1 species